GAUGAACGCUGGCGGCGUGCCUAAUACAUGCAAGUCGAGCGAACAGACGAGGAGCUUGCUCCUCUGACGUUAGCGGCGGACGGGUGAGUAACACGUGGAUAACCUACCUAUAAGACUGGGAUAACUUCGGGAAACCGGAGCUAAUACCGGAUAAUAUAUUGAACCGCAUGGUUCAAUAGUGAAAGACGGUUUUGCUGUUACUUAUAGAUGGAUCCGCGCCGCAUUAGCUAGUUGGUAAGGUAACGGCUUACCAAGGCAACGAUGCGUAGCCGACCUGAGAGGGUGAUCGGCCACACUGGAACUGAGACACGGUCCAGACUCCUACGGGAGGCAGCAGUAGGGAAUCUUCCGCAAUGGGCGAAAGCCUGACGGAGCAACGCCGCGUGAGUGAUGAGGGUCUUCGGAUCGUAAAACUCUGUUAUUAGGGAAGAACAAAUGUGUAAGUAACUAUGCACGUCUUGACGGUACCUAAUCAGAAAGCCACGGCUAACUACGUG
rnacentral:rRNA from 1 species